UACGUAGGGUGCGAGCGUUGUCCGGAAUUAUUGGGCGUAAAGAGCUCGUAGGCGGUUUGUCACGUCUCGCUGUGAAAUCCCGAGGCUCAACCUCGGGCCUGCAGUGGGUACGGGCAGACUGGAGUGCGGUAGGGGAGAAUGGAAUUCCUGGUGUAGCGGUGGAAUGCGCAGAUAUCAGGAGGAACACCGAUGGCGAAGGCAGUUCUCUGGGCCGUAACUGACGCUGAGACGCGAAAGCGUGGGGGAGCGGACAGG
rnacentral:rRNA from 1 species